rnacentral:lncRNA from 1 species
GGGAGCGAGCGCGGGAGGCCGAGGCCAGACAGGGAGCCGGGCUCCGUGCCGUCCCCGGCGCUUUCGAAUCGCCCAGGGCUGCCGCCGCUCGGCGCCGCGCCGGCUCGCUGGGCUGCAAGAUUUGGGAAAGCAGCACGCGCCCUGCCGGCUCUCUCCGCUCUUCUCGCUUUCUCCCCUCCUUCCAUUUCCCUCUCGCUCUCCUUUACCUUCCUCCUCCCUCUCCCAGGUUUACCUUCCUGAGGCCAGUGGCUUUUUUCUCUGACAUGCCUUAGCGGCAGCCCGGGACACACAGUGGCAGUGGCGGGCACAGGAGCCUCGACCCUGCCUCGUUCUCAGCUCUCUGCCAGACUGCUGGCCUCACCCCCCAUCUCCACCUGGCCAGGAGCAGGUACGGUCAGGUUAGCUGCUCCAUCGGACGCCAGGGGCGUGGUAGGAAUUCUGGGCCGCGGGCCAUUCAAGGUCAGGGGCGCACGCUUCCAUCCUGGGCCUCCCCGGCUCCAGGCCUCCGCCUGGCCAGGGACUCCGACAUUCUCUUGCAAGGCUGGGGUGCCUCUAGCCCCAACCAGGGAACAAAUCAGGAAAGACCCCUUGACCAGUGGAGAUUCCGGCCAAAUUAGGAGAGACAGGAGUGACAGGGGCUGGGAUCCUGGCCUUGUCAAUUACCUUUCCCUCUGUAAGCCGCUCUCUACUCCCAAGAGUUGCCUUUGCCUCUUUUUCUUCCUUCCUUCUUUCCUUCUCGCCUUUCUUCCUCUUUUAUCUUUCUUGUUUUCUUAGCUCCUUUUUUUUCUCUUUCCUUUUCUUUAGUUUUCUUUCAUUUUCAGUCUGUGUCCGGGUUUUCUUCCUCUGCCACCUUUCAU